CAGCCGCCGCGGGAAUACGGAGGGUGCAAGCGUUAAUCGGAAUUACUGGGCGUAAAGCGCACGCAGGCGGUUUGUUAAGUCAGAUGUGAAAUCCCCGAGCUUAACUUGGGAACUGCAUUUGAAACUGGCAAGCUAGAGUCUUGUAGAGGGGGGUAGAAUUCCAGGUGUAGCGGUGAAAUGCGUAGAGAUCUGGAGGAAUACCGGUGGCGAAGGCGGCCCCCUGGACAAAGACUGACGCUCGGGUGCGAAAGCGUGGGGAGCAAACAGGAUUAGAUACCCCUGUAGUCCCUGUCUCUUAUAC
rnacentral:rRNA from 1 species